rnacentral:rRNA from 1 species
AUUGAACGCUGGCGGCAGGCUUAACACAUGCAAGUCGAGCGAGCGGCGGACGGGUGAGUAAUGUCUGGGAAACUGCCUGAUGGAGGGGGAUAACUACUGGAAACGGUAGCUAAUACCGCAUACCAUCAGAUGUGCCCAGCUGGGAUUAGCUAGUAGGGGGGGUAAUGGCUCACCUAGGCGACGAUCCCUAGCUGGUAUGAGAGGUGGACCAGCCACAAGUGAAAUGAGACACGGUCCAGUCUCGUACGGGAGGCAGCAGUGGGGAAUAUUGGACGAUGGGCGCAAGCCUGAUGCAGCAAUGCCGCGUGUGUGAAGAAGGCCUUCGGGUUGUAAAGCACUUUCAGCGAGGAGGCGUUACUCGCAGAAGAAGCACCGGCUAACUCCGUGCCAGCAGCCGCGGUAAUUC